rnacentral:rRNA from 1 species
AGUGGCAGACGGGUGAGUAACAUGUGGGUAUCUGCCCUUUGGCCUGGAAUAACACGAGGAAACUUGUGCUAAUACCGGAUAAGUCUUUACAGAGAAAGCUUUAUGCACCAUUGGAUGAGCCUGCACUUGAUUAGUUUGUUGGUGGGGUAAUGGCCUACCAAGACUGUGAUCAAUAGCUGAUUUGAGAGGAUGAUCAGCCACAUUGGGACUGGGACACGGCCCAAACUCCUACGGGAGGCAGCAGUGGGGAAUCUUGCACAAUGGAGGAAACUCUGAUGCAGCGAUGCCGCGUGAGUGAAGAAGGCCUUUGGGUUGUAAAGCUCUUUCGUCGGGGAAGAAAAUGACUGUACCCGAAUAAGAAGGUCCGGCUAACUUCGUGCCAGCAGCCGCGGUAAUACGAAGGGACCUAGCGUAGUUCGGAAUUACUGGGCUUAAAGAGUUCGUAGGUGGUUGAAAAAGUUGGUGGUGAAAUCCCAGAGCUUAACUCUGGAACUGCCAUCAAAACUUUUCAGCUAGAGUAUGAUAGAGGAAAGCAGAAUUUCUAGUGUAGAGGUGAAAUUCGUAGAUAUUAGAGAGAAUACCAAUUGCGAAGGCAGCUUUCUGGAUCAUUACUGACACUGAGGAACGAAAGCAUGGGUAGCGAAGAGGAUUAGAUACCCUCGUAGUCCAUGCCGUAAACGAUGUGUGUUAGACGUUGGAAAUUUAUUUUCAGUGUCGCAGCGAAAGCGAUAAACACACCGCCUGGGGAGUACGACCGCAAGGUUAAAACUCAAAUGAAUUGACGGGGACCCGCACAAGUAGUGGAGCAUGUGGUUUAAUUCGAAGAUACGCGCAGAACCUUACCAACACUUGACAUGUUCGUCGCGACUCUAAGAGAUUAGAGUUUUCGGUUCGGCCGGACGAAACACAGGUGCUGCAUGGCUGUCGUCAGCUCGUGUCGUGAGAUGUUGGGUUAAGUCCCGCAACGAGCGCAACCCUCACUUUUAGUUGCCAUCAUUAAGUUGGGCACUCUGAAAGAACUGCCAGUGAUAAGCUGGAGGAAGGUGGGGAUGACGUCAAGUCCUCACGGCCCUUACGUGUUGGGCUACACACGUGCUACAAUGGUAUCUACAACAGGAAGCAAGACUGCGAAGUUAAGCAAAUCCUUAAAAGAUACCUCAGUUCGGAUUGCACUCUGCAACUCGAGUGCAUGAAGCUGGAAUUACUAGUAAUCGUGGAUCAGCGUGCUACGGUGAAUGCGUUCCCGGGUCUUGUACACACCGCCCGUCA